rnacentral:rRNA from 1 species
AAAUGAAUAGACGGGGGCCCGCACAAGCGGUGGAGCAUGUGGUUUAAUUCGAUGCAACGCGAAAAACCUUACCUACCCUUGACAUCCUCGGAAUCUUUCAGAGAUGAAGGAGUGCCUUCGGGAACCGAGAGACAGGUGAUGCAUGGCUGUCGUCAGCUCGUGUCGUGAGAUGUUGGGUUAAGUCCCGUAACGAGCGCAACCCUCGUCCUUAGUUGCUAGCAGUUCGGCUGAGCACUCUAAGGAGACUGCCGGUGAUAAACCGGAGGAAGGCGGGGAUGACGUCAAGUCAUCAUGUCCCUUACGGGUAGGGCUACACACGUGCUACAAUGGACAGUACAAAGGGUUGCGAAGCUGCGAAGUGAAGCCAAUCCCAAAAAGCUGUUCGUAGUCCGGAUUGGAGUCUGCAACUCGACUCCAUGAAGUUGGAAUCGCUAGUAAUCGCAAAUCAGCAUGUUGCGGUGAAUACGUUCCCGGGCCUUGUACACACCGCCCGU